rnacentral:tRNA from 1 species
GGAGGAGUCGCAUAGAGGCCUAGUGCAAGAGUUUGCUAAACUCUGUCCUCGCAAGAGGGCUCGUGGGUUCGAAUCCCACCUCCUCCGCCA